GGAAGUCCAAGAUGAAAAGCUGUCCCGAAGCCACAGCCACCUGCGCUUAACUCGCAGUUUCGCCCCUUCCCAGCCCGCUCGCGUCGCGGGCGCCUCUGCUGCGCUCGGCGUCUUCCCGCUAGAAGGGAAGGGCCCGACUGGUGUCAACCGGGGGAGACAUCACUGCACAGGACCCCGCCUGCGCGGCGCAGGCGACACUGGCUCCCUCGGACGUGUGGGUUUUCUGCAAAGUGACCUUCUCCUGAACUUCAGAGGAAGAAAAGUGCUUCCACUUCGUAACAGCAGCGACCACACAGUAAGAAUCUAGCUAUUAUUAUGACUAUUAGUACCGUACAGUAGUUCCAAAGUCAUCAGGCGUGGAUGGAGAAGAAGCGUUGUGGGAAGGGCGGGGAGUGGAGGGAUAAAUAAGAGGAGAUUCCUGCUCUCAAGAACUCCCCGAAUAUCUGUCCUGAAGAAAGGAGACUCUUACGUGCAUGUUCGGACCGGCUCUCUUCCCUCGGUUCCCACCACCGCCAGGAAGAUCCUCUGGGACAGUUUCUCCGAGAGGCUUGAUCUUAGGUUACUCAGUUCCAGUGGGUGUCCCCCAAAGGGGGAAAUUCAAGACCCCAGGCCCAGGGCGAACUCGAGGCCCUCGCUUGUCUCCGGGAGCUUCCUCUUCAACGGUAUCAAGGCGAAGUUCCUCUAAAACAGCAUCUGGCAUCCAGCUCCGCCCCAAGUCGGCGCCCAGCAGCCAGAGACCGUCGAGGAUGAAAGGUGGAGUUCAGCAAUCUCACUGCAAACCUUGUGGAAGUCAAAGCUGAGAUGCCUGGGAGCAGCUUCCGCACAUCCGUGACCCCUGUGACAGCUUCAUGGAACCGCAGAGCACAAGCUCCAGGUUUUCCUCUUGCUUGCUCAGUCCCCAAAGGUCUGAGGAAUGGUUUUAUAAAGGGAGAAAGGAAAGGGUGGGGGAGGCUCAUUUUUAGCUGUGCAGGCUUCGAAUUUGCUUGAAUAAGCCCAGUGUGUUUCGUUUUGGCAUGUGAUCUUCUUCUUACGUUUGAAAACGACCAAAUAUCCUCCCUAAACAAGGGAACGUCUGCGUUCUCACCGUAGAAAAUGUAAGCUCCUUAUAUCUUGUUCUUUGUGGGGGGCGGGGAGGGAGGCGGAGCAGGAGAAUGAAAACAGACUGAAACCGUAAAGGGAAGAAAACAUGCUCCAGGUGAGGCUCGAACUCACAACCUCGGCAUCACCCGCACAUAUACUGCUGUAUAAGUACCGCGCGCUAACCGAUUGCGCCACUGGAGCAUGCUUUCCUUGCGGUCUCGGUGCGCACUCUACAGAGCCACGAGCGGCGGGCGCGCGCGCGAUCCCCGCGACACGCGGGAGCGAGAACGCACGGGCCUGCUCUAGACGCCCCCCCGCCCUUUCCCUUAUUCACCUUGGCAGCGGCUAGCCUGGCAGCGGCUAGCGGCUAGCCUGGCGUUGAUAGAGACGCUUCCAUCUAUCCCGGAGGCAUGUGUGCAAUCUUUCUUCUACUCAACCGGGAAUCAGCAUUUCCCAGGGAUCCAGGGAUGCUCCUUUCAGAAGCCCCGAAAGAAGGCUGAGGAGAGAGGGCGAGCGGAUCCCGGCGCCUCCUCGCCUUGACUCCAAGAAAAGAACCGUUUCCGUGGGAGACACGACAUGGGCUGUCUGGGCGAGGUACGACAUCACCGAGCACCGCCUGGCUGGUCGGUGAUGCAUCCUACUAGAUCGAGGACGCCGAGAAGCAGAAACAGCCCAGCCCUAGCUUGGCCGCUUCUCCCAGCACCCGCUGCGCUCCGGGCGGUUCUACCCACCUCGCUAUCCCGCACCUCCAGGCUGCGCACCCUGGUUCCUCCAAAUCCUCCCCGCGCCUGCCUGAAAACCGUAUUCGAAGUCAUAACUGCUCUUUCGGAAAAACAGCAAAAGGAAUCACUCCUUUGUGCCGCGAGUUACAUCAAGGCGGUGUCCAUCACCCCCACUGCCACCCUUCUCCACCUGGUUUGACCUUUAGAGGUUUAUUGCAAAUGGUUUUCCUCUGAGACAAAAUGCCCACCUAGUAUCCUCAUUCCUGCCACGUUUCGUUUGUUUGCUUGCUUGCUUGUUUUUGGCGUGGGGAAAUCGCAGCUGUCACAUAUACACCAGAUAUGAAGCUUUUGGGCUUUUCGGAAUAAUACCUGUCGUGAGAAGGAGAGUUGUGUAAAGAACAGAAUAAUCUGACCACAUAGUACCUAACAAAUAGUACUGAGAGUAAUAGACCAGUGACCAAGUUUCUCCAUACAGACACAUGAAGGGGUAUGUGUGGAGAACUGUUUCCACAUCUCUGUGUCUACUGCAUUGCUGUAUAGGGAUUAUUGCAUGUGCUUUAAAUACACCUUAAAGUGAGAAGCAGUGAGAAGACACAGGCUCUAUACAUUGCAGCACUAUUCGCAAUAGCCAAGACAUGGAAACAACCUAAAUGCCCAUCGACAAAUGAAUGGGUUAGGAAGAUGUGAUACAUAUAUAUAUAAUGGAAUACUACUCAGCCAUAAAAAGGACAAAAUAAUGCCAUUUGCAGCAACAUGGGUGGAACUAGAGACUCUCAUACUGAGUGAAGAAAGUCAGAAAGAGAAAGACACCAUAUGAUACCACUUAUAUGCGGAGUCUAAAUAUGACACAAAUGAUCUGGAAUGAUCAUGAACAUGUAGGACAGACUAGUGUUUGCUGGGGGGGAAGGGGAGGCAGUGGGAUGCAUUGGAAUCUGAGCUUAGUAGAUAAAAAGUCUUGCUUUGGAGUGGAGAGAUCCUGCUGUAUAGCACAGGGAACUAUAUAUCUAAUCUCUUGUGAUGGAACGUUAUGAAGGAUAAUGUGAGAAAAAGAAUGUAUGUAUAUAUAUGUAUAUUACUGGGUCACUUUGUUAUACAGCAGAAAUUGACAGCACAUUGUGAGUCAAUCAUAAUAAAAAAUUAAAAUAAAUAAAUAAAUAACAAUAGCAGCCACACGUUGGAUGGAGCUUAUCAUGGGCCUGACACUGUUCUAAGCCAUUUAUUUAAACUUCAAAAUAGCACUCAUGGAGCUAUGUUCCAAGUCUGGAUGUAGAUAAGAAGAACCAGUAUCUAGGGAAUUAUUGUUCUUAAAGAGAUGAAAGUUUCUGAGACUCACAGCAUGCCACUGGUUAUUAAACCAGCUUUCACAACAUAGGCAUUAUAAGCAUAAAAUAAUGCUCACGGAGAAAAAUGUAGAUAGAAAACUAAGUGUUUUGAAUUGUUAAUAUUAAAAAAAAUGAAAACAAAAACUUCUGAUCUCUGCCUACUCUUCCAUGGAAAGCUGGCCUGUAUGGACUAUAACAUGGACUCCCCUGCCCUGUGACUUCAACUUGAAUUUAAUUUGUGGGAGCACUAGCAGGAAACCAGAAUGAGAGAGGGCAGAGAGGUUGGAGUAUUCAUUUCUCUGAAUCACUUUCUCUGAAUCAUUUGGUCUAGUUCAUCAAGGUAGACUUUUCCUCCAAGUUCCAGUAAUGGCUCCUUUUCUCUCUCUUUCGGUACUAAGGGUGGUACCAUCCUGAUGUCAGCAGCCCUCUUCUUUGCCCUCCCCUAACCUGCCCACACCUGUAUUAAAGAGCCUCCUUAUGAAAUCCUCCUAAAAUUAUCCCAAUGUGAACACGCUGUCUUUUCUUUCCUGAGAUACUGAUUGAUAGAAAUGUGAUACAAUUGACAACAUUGUUAUGAAUGACAUGAAGUAAUUUUGAGGAUAGUACGUAAAGUUAUGUUUUGAAUAUGGGAGUGAAAUAAUUGAAAUAAACAUAUUUGUGUAAUUGAGGGUGUUCAGAACAUGCUACCC
rnacentral:tRNA from 1 species